GCAUAUGGAAGUUUCCACGCUAGGGGUAAAAUCAGAGCUACAGCUGCCAGCCUACACCACAGCCACAGCAACACAGGAUCCAAGCCACAUCUGCGACCUACACCACAGUUCACGGCAACACUAGAUCCUUAACCCACUGAGUGAGGCCAGGGAUUGAACCUGCAUCCUCAUGGGUCCUAGUCGGGUUCAUUAACCACUGAGCCACGAAGGGAACUCCCCACCUGUGCCUUUUUAUGCAUGAAUUUUCUUCUUAGAGUUGGUAGGAAAGCCUAUGUGUUGCUCUGAACCUCUCUGACCUCUAUCUGGAAACUUGAGACUGUCUUUUAAAGAGUGCAUUUGGUCAGGCCUACCCAGGACAAUCUCCCUUUGGAAUAACUUAAAAUCAACUGAUAAGGGACCUUAAUGACAUUUCCAAGAUCCUUCCGUCUUUGCUAUAUAACAUAACCUAAUCAUGGGAGUAAGACGUCUUCAUACUCAUAGUCAUGUUCCUGCCCACACUCAAUGACACAGAGAAUGUAUACCCAGGGAUGAGAACCUUGGGAACUGUUAUAAACUGCAUGGUUUCUAUCGGUCUUGUUAUUUGCAAGUAAUGGAUAUACUUAUUUAUAGUAGCUGCUUGACCCCAAACAAGCUCUUGGGCUCUCUAAGGUCUCUUUCAACACUUGAUUAUAAAGGACAAGGUGGUAUGUUAAGAGAGUUGUUGGGAUAGAGUGAUAUGAACUUUACACUAAGAAUAAUCACCACUGUAUGACUUUUACUCUUUAUCCUUGACAUUCUAGCUUAUAAAACCUAGCUCUCCUUAUAUAAGCUUGUGGCUCACUUUGAAGAUCUUGUUAUCAAAAUAUUAACUUAACCUUUCCCGGUAAGAAACUUGAUAACAAUCCAACCCAUCUGGGGAUCAAAAGAAAAAAAAUAAUCUCUUUUUGUUCCUGGUUGAAGAAUAAAUAUGACCCAGUUCAGUUAUUUGAAGGAAGAUAUAGAAAGUAAGAAGUCUCUCUAAUCAUGUAAAUAUUAAAUUCAGGCUAAAUGUUCUUUUUGAUUUCAGGCCACUGAGUUACGGUCAUAUUUUAUUUUAUCGGUGCAUGUUGUAAACCCCUGUGGUGGACCGACCUUGGGUCCUACUGCCAAUUUUUACUGCUUGAGAUGCUGCAUUAGUAUCUGAUAAAGGGAAUGCUGACAUUUUCUCCUCUCAGUAAUAAUCAGUAGCUGGGAAGAAAGAAAAGAAAAGUGUGUGUGAGGAGGUAACACCAUCCUCUAAUCUCCCUGUCAACUAGCCUCCUUAAGUGAAAUAAAGUCUUAAGUGAAGCCACUGAACUUGUCUACAAAGUCCCCUCUUUUUCAUAAUUUUCUUCACAACAAAACCCAUUUUUUUGGUGUGGCAAUUUCCCAAGUUUUAUCAUAUGAAAACUGGAAAGGAAUAUCUUUUUAAAAUUGAGGACAUAGGAAAAUACAUUUUUUAGUACAAUACAAUAAAUUUUACCCUAAAGACUCUCAGAUUAAUAAAGCUAUACUUGGCAUCUAUUUCACUGAUAAUGAGCCUAAGAGUGAUCAUUGAAUACCUGAAAAAUUAGUUUAAUCUCUAAGACAUUAUGUCAUUUAGCCAACUAGUCUUAGAACAAACAAUUAAGCUUCUUGUUACUAUAGAAACAUCCCAUCACCUUAAAAUUAGGAAAAAGGAAACAAUAAUGCUAUUUGACUGUUAACCAAAAUUUAAAGUAUUAUUAAAGUAAUUUAGUUUAUUACUUGUAUUUGAAGCUCGACUUGUCUAUAAUCUUUAAUUUCCUAACUAUCUUUAAAUAUUAAUACCAUUUAGUAUUAACUCUAGAUUCAUAUUUCUUCUAAGGUAGCAGUUUUAAAAAUACUGAAUAAAAGGCUUGACUGUUUUAAAUGUUGUGGUAUUAGUCAACUUUUUUAAUCCAACAGUAUACAUCAUCAUCUACAUUUUGGUUGUAAAGUAAGUACACUGCUAACUGAAAUUUUCUUUUCAUAGGUUGUACUUCUACUAUUUCAGGAGGUUGGUGGCGAGACAUUGUAAUAGAUGCUUAACAGUGGCUUUAAUUUAUCAUAUCUGAACAUACCACAAAGCACACGGCAGUCUUUCAUACCAAUUCCCCUGAGGUCUAGUAGAGCACAGGUUUUCAUUCUUGUGAUUUGGUGUCUUUAUUUUACUUGUACUAUUAUGUUGCUUUUUACAUCCUCUUAAGUAAGUCCAGAGAUUCCCACCAUCAACCUCUGAUGGUUGAAACAAAGUUCUCUCUUACUUAGUUAAAUUACAUUUAAGUAUUAGUUAUAGUGAAGGAACUUUCUUCACAAUACUCUAAAGCCCCAGAUGUGAAGGGGACAUCAUGAAGUUGCCUCUGAUAAUUUUUAAAUUCUCUCCUGUUACACAGUCAAGUGGGAGACCUCAGGACACACAAGAGGCUCUGUGUUUCCACAGAGUCUGCAAAGUUGUCUUACCCAUGGCUCCUUGCAAGACAGGAGAUAUUACCUUCAUACUGUGUGUGCUUGUGCAGAGAUGUGUUCACAUCUGCUCCAUUUAAGGCAGUCAUAUUCACUUAAAGCGUGAGGCACCUGCUAUUAAUUUUCUGAGGGCAAUAUAUACAUAGUUGUGAGAUUAAAUUUUCAAAAUCUAUGUUCAAGGGUAAAAUUUAUACUAAAACUUCAUCAUGAAUGUUUUCCAUCUGGAUUAUGUAAAUAUGAAUAUUAAGCACUUCAAAAUUAGCAAUAGUUCUGCUCAUGCUUUUUUAUUAGCUAUUUUCAUGUUUUCCAAAAUAUUAAAAGGUACUAGUUAGAAUUAAUUACUUUACAGCUAUGUAAUUCCUAGCUUAAAAAUGGUUGUCUUUAGAAUUCUGCAACACAUAACAAAAUGCUAAACAUAAGUCAAAAUUAAACUAUAACCUGAUAUUCAUGAACAACUUUUUUUUCAUGGAAUACUUCUGAAUUGUCAGGGAUGUAAUUUCACACCUUACUAAUAAUCGCUAUGUGAACUCUAAAUAUCAUGGACUUGCAGAAAAGCAGACUUGCUCAGAUAUCUGAUUAUUUUUAGAAAGUGCUCUAAAAUUAGGAGAUUUAAAAAACACAUGGUAAGGACUCAGACACACAACAUCUAUGAAUCACUAGCAUCACCAUAUAUGACAAUAUUUUUCUUCGGAUCAAAUUUUAUUUAAAAAUGAUUAGAUUGAAUAUUUAUAUAUUGCUGGCUUUUGAAGGUGUUGCUUUAUUUUAAAAAAAUUAUGCUUUUUGUUUUUUCCUUCACUGCAUUUCAAGUUGUCAGAUUUCUACGUAAGAAAACUGAGGCAUAUAGUAGUGGUUGGAAACUGUCUCCUGUGACACUUCUCUGAAUUGCAUUUGUUGUUCUGAACAUUCAGGUAAGCAAAAUUAUCUGUAUGUUCUCAUCACAUUUUCCUGAUUUAUGAGGAUUUAAGUAAUCUGGGCCCAAAUCAGAAUGCUUAUCACUUUUUUUUUUUUCUUUGUCAUUUUAGGGCCUCACCCUUGGCAAAUGGAAGUUCCCAGGCUAGGGGUCAAACUGGAGCUGCAACUGCUGGCCUACAUCAAAGCCACAGCAAUUCAUGAUCUGAGCUGCGUCUAUGACCCACACCACAGUUCAUGUCAAUGCUGAAUCCUUAACCCACUAAGCAAGGCCAGGGAUCAAACCUGCAUCCUUACGAAUAAUUCAUCACCAUUGCACCACCACAGGAACUCCAGAAUGCAUAUCACUUUAAAAACUUGUAAUGAAGAAAAACAUUAAGCACGAAUAAUGGAUGAAGGAAUUCUCUACUGGACAGUCCCUGUUCCCGUGAAGUGUCCCUGGCAUUAAAAAGAGGACACAUUCUGUAAAGGUACAGACUGCAUAUAAAUAAGAGCUAAAGAGAGGUGGUCUGAUUCAACAGAGGAAGCACCCAGGCUGAUGUUCUGGUUCUGCUACUUCUGUCUGACCUUGGACUUAAUAAGAUCACUUGACUUUUCCAAGCCUCUUAUGCCUCAUCUUCAAAAUGGGCCUUGAGGUUUUGUGGAAACCAAAGGAUACCAUGUGGGUCAGAGGACUCUGUCUACUUGAAGGCCCCUACGGAACCCUUAUGUAUUAACAAUCAAAUUUUCAAAUUAAAAUACUCUAGUGUAUUUUUCUUCCACUGCAGCCAGCAAACUGUCACUAUUAUACCUGGAGUGGGUGAUCAAGCACAAGAAGUUCCCAAAGUUCUAUUUCUGCUGUGAGGGAAAAAUGGAAAUAACUGGGCAAUGUUGGUACAUCCUAAGCCAAACAUAUAUAUAUGGCAUAUAUGGCAGGCGUACUGGACCAUGAAGUUAAUGAUGGCUACUAUCUUCCUUUGAGUUAAUGAUGCUUACUGCUAAUUGCUAUAAUCAAGAAAGUCUUAGCCAUUUAGAUAAUCAAGACAUUUUUCAAUUCAUAUGCAAGAUCAGUGUUUAGCAAAGAGAAGACAAAGCAGCAGGUAACCUUGAAAGUGGCAAUCAGGGCGUUUCUGUCUCAGCGCAGUAGCAACGAACUCAACUAAUAUCCAUGAGGAUGUGGGUUCAAUCCCUGGCCUCACUCAGUGGGUUAAGGAUCCGGCAUGGCCAUGAGCUAUGGUUAGGUCACAGAUGUGGCUCGGAUCCUGAGUUGCUGUGGAUGUGGUGUAGGUGGGCAGCUGUAGUUCCGAUUCAACCCCUGGCCUGGGAACUUCCAUAUGCCAUGGUACAGCCUUAAAAAAGACAUUAAAAAAAAAAAAAAAAAAAAAAAAAGGAAGUAGGAAUCAAACUCCAGUGGGCAAACUUGGCUUAUUUCCAUGGACAGAAAAGAGGUGAGUUGGAGCAGGGCUGGGAAAUUGCUAGAUGUUGGUAAGUAAUUAUCAAAACUAGAGGAAUUCUAGAGAGGCCUAGACUAGGGAAAGAGAGGAAGGAGAUAGCUUUUCUUCUGCAGUGGCAGUUAUGACAAGGACAGGAUACACCUGGCAGAAGGAAACUGAAGUUAGCAGAAGUAGUGAGCCCGAAAGAGAACCUUAUGAAGCAUUCUGCUUCCAGAGGAGGCACACAUAAAGUGAUUAGGGUGUCAUCUUGGAAGGUCAAGAAAAAACUCUAAAAGAGGGAAGGGAAUGUUCACUUGGUCAGACUGUGGAUUUCAUGUUAGUUUGGAUGAAAGAUGAGCAUCGUUGUGUAGCGCUCUGAAGGGGAUGUGUUAAGACAAAUUACAAUGACCAGGAUAAAUCUAUUGAAAGCUCUGGACCUAGGAGAUGCUGCAUAAGAGUUUCUGGAUCUGAGCUUCCUAUAUGUUCUGAACAACUGAUUAAUCACGUUGUUCAUUCAUCAGUUGAAGGACCCAUAUGGACCAAAAACUAUGCCAAGCACUGGGGAUGCAGUGAUGGAGAAGACACAGUCUCUGCCCUCCAGGAGCUCACAGACAAGCAAUAACUAAAACAGCAGUUAGUAUUAUGAGAAGGAUAAGCACAGGGCACCAAAUUCAGCUUCGGUGAGAUCAGAGAAGGCUCACCAGAAGAAGUGGGGCUUAUGUGGAGACUAGGAGUAUCCACUGUAGCCAGAGGAGGUGAUGGAGAAUAGCAUGUGCAAAGGUCCUGAGGCAGGAGAGGGCUUAGCAAAUGAGGGAAACGAAGCAGCUCAGUAUGGCUGGAGUAUGGACAGUGAAAGGGAAAUUGGCCAGACAUGGUGUAAAAAAGUAAGCAGAAGCCAGAUCAUAAAGGGUCUUGUGAAUAAUGAUCAGUGGAAUGGGGAAUCAGAGGGAGGCAGUGAAGAACCACUGAAGGGAAAGGAAAUGAAGCAAAUCUUCAAGCUUCAUUUUUUCACCUAAAAAAUUUAGAAAUCAUUCCACCUUCCUCAGUGAGUUAUACUAAAUACCAAAUAAAAAUGUAUGAGAACUUUGUAAAGUUUACUAAAAAAACCUUUCCCUCAACUUGCAGAAUAGUUUACAUUAAAUUUGUCUUCUUUGCAUGAAAGACAUGAAUUCCAUCAGCAUACAUACCAUGUACCAGCUCUUUAUCACUUAGCUUAUACUUCUUUGACAAGUGGGAAAAAAAAAAGGGAAACAAUAAAAAACACCAACUUUCCCUCUGCAGGUCAUUACUCAGGUCACAGGAGGCCCACUCUGACUUGCCAACUUAAAAAUCCAAUGGGCACACCCCCCCUCGCGGGUCCCUCUUAGCCUGCUCUACUUUUAUUUUUUCCAUUGCACUUAUUUCCUUUUGGCAUUCUAUAAUAUUUAUUAUGUAUUCAUUGAUAUAUAAGCUCCUUGAGUGCAAGGAUCUUCAUCAGUUUUUUUGUUUGUUUGUUUGUGGUUUUUUUUUUGUCUUUUUAGGGCCGCACCUGCAGCACAUGGAAGUUCCCAGACUAGGGGUCGAAUCAGAGCUGUCAAGUUGGAACCAGCCUACAUCAUAGCCACAGCAACUCAGGAUCCGAGCAGCAUCUGUGACCUACAUCACAGCUCAUAGCAAUGCCAGAUUCUUAACCCACUGAGGGAGGCCAGGGAUUGAACCCAUGUCCUCAUGGAUACUAGUUGGGUUUGUUACCGCUGACCCACAAUGGGAACUCCUUC
rnacentral:lncRNA from 1 species